GUGCGGUGGUUGUGCGCGUCGGCGGGGUAUGUUGGUGCGCUGCUGCGGCUGAGAGAUUUCGGCCACGUAACGAGUCUCUUGUCUCAAAUCAGAGGUGUGCCACCACAGGUGUUCAGCCGUCGAAGAGUGGCAGCAGCUCACAAAAGCACUUGGUUCUGCCCGACUUGGCUGAGGAGUUGGUGCCUUGUGAGAGGGGCUGCUACGAACGACGUUGUGCUGGCCUGGGGUGUAGUUGUAGUGUUUUCACGUUUACCAUAACGUUCUCUCCAGUCCUGGUCAGCCGUCUUAAGAGAUCGUAAGGGACCUUGCCCGGGCACCAGGGAGCUCCAGAUGGCCUUUGGAGUCCACUGCAUGAGAACUGUAUGGAGAUGAAUGCUGUAGGAUGCCCAGAAGCUCUGACGACUAAUGCGUAAUGCAGCUGGCUGCUGCAGGAAGUGGCAUAGCAGUAUUUCAUUUAGCUAUGUUUGUCAUUCUGCCUGCUGUUCAGCUGCUGAUGUUCACAGAACUUAAAAAAAACCGUGAUUUUUUGCAACUAGGCUUCCUCCUUCCACACUCUUGCCAAAUGCCUCAAUUCCUUAGAAAAUUGGUAGCAGGAACUUAUUAAUCUCCAACACUAUUUAUUUUUACUCUGCUCUCUGUAAUUGUGCAACACAGGAAAGGCAACAAAAUUGUUUUAUACGGCUCUAUUUAUUUAUUUGAAAGGUUUUGCAAUUGUGCUUUGUUGUGUCCAGUUGCAGACUUGAAGUUAUUUUCUGUUUAAUUUUUGUGGUAUUAUAGAAAUGGCAGUUAUUUCCCUUUCCCAAUGCUGGAGAGUGGAGAAGAAAAUACAAGGACAUUAUUUUCAUAGCAAAGAGAGAUUUUGAGAACGACUAGGCACAGAGAUUAAAAUGCACAGAGAGUCAGUGUUUGAAUGACUAAAACAUUUGUUCUGCUCGCUGCCUGUUCAGUUCCUUUAUAAUCAUUAACUGUAAAGACUGUGUUAUACAGUAUCUGAGAAGAAAAAUCAUGGGCAAAGGCUAAAACUGUAGUCACAUAGAUAUGAAUGUCUGCUUCUGACAGGGGAAAAGAGAAAUCCUCCAAAUAUGUUCAUGAUAUCAACCAUUAUACAGUAUGUGUUGUAUGUCACUGUUUCUAGUGGAUGGUAUGAAAGAAAAGAAUCUGUGGCAAUGUGUAAUCACCUUACAUAUAGACACACCUUGGACAAAGAGCAUAUCUCAAGACAACUCUUACAUGCUACUGUCCAUCAAGGAAGAACAGUGGAAAGACUGGACAAUAUUUGAAACGUGACAAUUAAAAGGAUUAUCUGUACAACA